rnacentral:lncRNA from 1 species
AGAAUACAUUCUUAUUAGUGUUGUGCAUGAAGCCAUGUUUUUUGAUGGGAGAUUUCCCACUGUGCCAUCAUGUCCAUGCUCAAAGAGUUUCAGAUGUUAGAGCACAUCGAACUUAGAGGUUAGGGAUGUUCAACUGUAAUGGUAACAGCAGCAUUGACUGAGACUUGUGCAUGAGGCUUUGGAAGCAUUAGCUUGCUUAAUACUCACCCUGUUAUCUCCUCCACUUUAUAGACGAUGAAAUUAAGGCUUAGAGAGGGCAAAGUGCCAUGUAGUCAAGAUGCAAACCCAGGCUUGUCAAACUCCAAAGUCCCUGCAGUGUUGCCUCAGAGAGGACCAUUCAGAAUUGUGUGUCUGGGUGGUAUUGAGAAAGGCGGGAGGUCACACUGUCUGGCCCUGUAUGUCCCUAAGAUUCCCAGUCAGGAUCCCUGUACCCUGGUGGUAGGAUAUCUGUGGUGAGAGGGCUGUGACUGUUGGAAGGUCAAGCUUAGGUGCCCCUCACCGGACACAGCUUAGUAGCACCUUCUGGUUGUGCCUAUAAGCAAGAGGAGCUGACAUCUUCUUGGCAGUGCUUCUUUAUGUCAUGCUUUACAGAGGUUGGGCCACUAGUGCCAGUGUGGAUUGACUGAUGCGUCUUGCCUGGAGCUGAGCUAAGUCAGAGGCAACUUCACUCCAUUAGUUAGUUGCUUCCCUGGUCCAAAUGCUUGGCGGAAGACACUUAAGAGAGGAGUGAUUUAUUUAGGUUCAUUGUGUCAGUCUCAGUCCAUAAUGGCAGGGGAGGCAUGGGGCAGUGGUUUUAUGGCAGCGGGAACAUGGGUAGAAUCCUCACAGGAUGGCUGGAUCAGGAAGCAGAGCUAAAGCAACCAGAAGUAGAGGUGGGCACUGGCCUUAGUAGCCUGCAAACAUCUGCUAGACCUCAGGUUCCGUGGCUUGCCAAGACAGCUCCGUGAACUGGGGACCAAGUAUCCAACACAUGAUGAGCAUGUGGGGACCAUUCCAACCAAAAUGACAGGGGCUAGUGAGCUUUUCAUUACCUUAACCAAAUUCCCCAAACAGGGAACUUAGGAAAAAAAGAGGUUAUUUUAGUUCAGGGUGGAGGCAGUCUCUGGAUGUAUCUGUCACUUCAUGGAGGACAGCAGUGGCAGGUAGACUUUCAUCAAGAUCUCAUGCUGAAUUUAGAAGCAAAGUACCAUUAAGGCACCCUGUGACAGGGACUCUGAGGGUCCCACUAGAACUCCCCAGGGUACACAUCCAUGCUGCAGGGAUCUCCCUUCAGGACCCAUCCUCCAGUCACAGUGAACCUUGGGGGACACUUGAGUCAUUCCCAACCGUGGGCACAGUACUCCUUCCACAUGGCAGUGGACAUCAUGGAAGUUUUUCCCCCUAAGUUUGGUGCUGUAACUGUUGGGUGGCUGCUUUGCAAAGAAUUCCACAUUGGGGAUUUGGAAUUGUGGGUCUCCUGUUCUGAAGGGAAGACAGCUCCAAGCAGGUAUGAGUUCUCUAAAGCCACAUGGGAUAAAGAGGAGAGGGGAGUAUGGCUUUGCAAGUGCCUCCAAGCUGCUUCUUCAUGAAGCACCUCCUCUGAGAGGGACAGCAAGGCUGACUCCAUCUUCCUCACCAUGUAUAGGAAGCACAUUUUGCCUGGCUGACAUAACUCCGGUCACUGACUGCUUGGCCUGUGUGUUCUGGUUGUCUAUGUGAGUCUCAUGAGAGCAGGAACUUGAUCCACCUUGUUUACUUCACCUGGACCUCCACCUGCCAUCCAGUAAAUGUUUGUUGAAUGGAUGAAUGAAUGUGUAAGUGAAUGGCUCUGCUGCUUUCCUAGGACCCACACCCCCUCCUUCAGAAGGUCUUUCUGCUCGUCCCAGUUUCAUCCUUCCUAAACUCCACCUUUUGGAUCUGACCACUGUCUGAGAUUCUGGAUUUUAUUUCUCAAUUCAUUUAGUGUCUUCUGGUUUUGCCAUUUAAUCAUGACCCACAGCCUUCCUUGGGAGUAGCCCAGGGCCCAGAAACAUAUUCCUGAAGUAAUUUGUAUUCCUAAAUAUGGCCUCUUUGGCUCCCACAGCUAGGGGCAGCCUGGCUUAGUCAGGUUUUAGAUAUGCAUAUUAUUAUGUAAAUGUGCUGGAACUGAAUAUAAUUUCCUUAAAAAAAAAAACAUUUUCCAAUGGAAAAUAGAUCCGCUUGCAGGAGAGACCUAGCCCAGCAACCCCGAAGACAGCUGCAUUAUGACGAUGACAGCAAAAACUAGAAUUCAUGGAAUACUUGCUGGAAGCCAUACACAGAUCUAAGCUCAUAAAAAAGGAAGUCCUUACAACUAUAUCCCCAGGUUACAGACAAGUAAACUGAGGCAUGGAGAAGGCUUGGACUGUGUGCCAAGGUUACCCAUCUUGCAACAGUUUCUGGCAUGUUCAGGUUUAGUUAAAGGAUGACCCCAUAGUGCUCCCCAUGCACCAGCUCCCCACCACUGGGUCAUCGUCUUCAGAGAUACCUCAGAGGAAACAGAAGUGGACCUGGGGGACGAGGGGCAAAUAUACUUCUAAUGCUCUUCAUAUCUUUCUUUCCUGAGCUCUGCUGGCCCAUCGCCCCUUUCAGGAGUAACUGGAGAAGGCUAGACGCUUCUAACAUACAUCCGGACUUCAACAUAACACACAGUGUCAGUCCCAUUUGGCUUUCUACGUGGCAAUUCCAAGCACCCUGGAGAGUAUGUUGUUCCUCAUCAGAGCUCUGGGAGUGAGAUUCCAGGGGAGAUUCAGUUUGUGCCUCUCAAGGGACAUUGGGCACCUCCACCCCACUCAUAUCUCACAGACUUUUCCUCCACAUGACUAAUGCAGUACCCUGUGACCUCCCUUUAAGUGGGAUGGGGACACAGAAAUGGAGGCUGCAGCUCCUGCCGACUCCAAACAUUUAGUUACAUUAAUCACAGAGUGCUUUUGGACUCCGAGCGUCUAGAAUGAAAGACACUUUCUUGGGGAGACAUUGAUCAAACAGUCUACAGGUAUCUGCACAUCGAGGGGCAUUAAUCAUCUCUGCAUUAUCUCUCCCACCAGUAGAAUAUGUAAAUGUGAUUCCUGUCAGUGAUAAGAGGAAGUGAAAUUAUUCUUGGAGAUUGGUCCAUCUGGAGCUGUUGAUACAAUCUUACCUAAGACAAUAGGUUGUAAAGAUAAAUUUUUUAGCAUUACUAAUCCAGCGUUGCCAAUACCCAUGGAGAAUGGAGAAAUUUAAAACCAAACCAAAAAUGUACCAUUGGUGCAAGAGAGGAAGACUACCCCCAGCUCUGCCUCAGUUCCUAUAAUACUACUUUUGGCAACCUUGAGGGAAAGAUGCCUUCUGCAUAAUUAAGGAGGACAAGUUUGGAAAGGUCUCAGGAUGCAUUUGCAGAGUGUUCUGGAAGAGUUCACAUCUGGCUACAAACAAGACAAAAGCUUGCAUAUAGAUGCACCUAGGGAUAUACACUGUUUCUACACACUUAAAGCCCAGGAUUUUCAUCUUCACAAGAGGAAUCUUUCUAGAACCUUCUGUAUCAUCAUCUGCCCCUUACAAGUUGGCCAAAUGUGCCCAGGAUGGAAUGAAACAGGAGAAAGUGUGAACAAGCAGCCUCAGACAUUCACUGCCAUGAACAGGAGCUGUUCCUGCUACUGUAAACAACUGCCAUGCCUUCCCCAGCUUGAAGCUGUGAGCCCCAGGACACCUUCCCCCCUUAAAUCACUUCAACUGGAGAAAAAAGUACCUAAGACAUGCUCUCACCAUGGAACGCUGUCCCUCCCUGUGUGACUGCGACUCUGAGGCUGUCACAGUAACACACCUGCUUUGGUGUCCUCCAAGUUCCCUUGCUGAAGCUAUUCCUUGGAGUAUGGCAUCAGGAGCUUUCUGGAGGAAGUAAGACAAACUUGCACUGGGACCACCUUGAAUUUCAGCUGUUUGUCUGGUCAAUUCUGGAAAAUAGGAAUGUCUUCUAUGGGCUCCAUCAGAGAAAAAUAGAGCCCCUGAUCAACUAAACCAUCCACAGCACCUCCCCGUGAAGUGUUGGAACUUGUUUGGAACUUGUUUGGAACAAGUUUGGAACUUGUCUGCAAACUACAAAUAGCCAAAGAACUUCAGAGAUUUGAGAUGUUUUCAGUGAAAGAAGUAAAAGAAUAAUAGCUAUUAGCACCCUAAACAGGACUGGAAAUGAAGACAACCAGAAGGAAAAUCCAAAAACACUCACAUUUUCGGUGACAAGAGAAUAUUGUAUACUCAUGAAAAAGGCUGUAAAAGCAGCAAGUCAGGCAGCUUAAAGGGGACCUGUUAGGAGGGAAGAGCUGCUGUUUGAGAGGCUAAACCCAGAUGUUGUUUACAUGAAGUUUAAGGAAGAUUCCACACCACAGAGAGGGGUGCAAAUCAUAGAAGAAAAAAAUACAAUAAAACUGCUCAGAAAUUUUAAAAUUAAAUGACUCACCUUUUCAUGUAAGGAAUGAAAAAAUAAAGUUGACCCUGUGCUCCUCAUAGUAAAAUUUCAGAAUGGUAAAAAUACAGAGAAGAUUCUAAAAUCUACCAGGGAAAGAGAAAAAAAUUGUCUUAUUUGUAGACUGGGAAUAAGAAUCACACACGGGGCUGGAGAGAUGACUCAGUGGUUAGGAGCACCAUCUGCUCUUCCAGAGGACCUGGCUUAGAUUGCCGGCACCCACGGGUGGUUCACAAACUUCUGAAUCCAGUUCCAGAGGCCUCAAUGCCAUCUUCUGGCCAUUUUGGGUACCAG